AACAAAAACAUGUCUUUUUGAUUAUAAUUUAAAGUCUAGCCUGCCCAAUGAUUAUAAAAUUUAAUGGCCGCGGUAUUUUGACCGUGCUAAGGUAGCAUAAUAAUUAGUUUUUUAAUUGAGAACUGGAAUGAAUGGUUGGACAAGGAAAAUACUGUCUCAAGUUUAAUUUAAUUAGAAUUUUAUCUUUAAGUAAAAAAGCUUAAAUAUUUUUAAAAGACGAGAAGACCCUAUAGAGUUUUAUAUUAUGAAUUAUAGUUAAUUUAAGGAAUUAUUAUUUUUAUAUAAUUUAUAGUAUUUUAUUGGGGUGAUAGAAAAAUUAAAAUAACUUUUUUUAAAUUAUACCAUUAAUUUAUGAAUAAGUGAUCCAUUAUUAAUGAUUAUAAGAUUAAAUUACCUUAGGGAUAACAGCGUAAUUUUUUUUAAGAGUUCAUAUCG
rnacentral:rRNA from 1 species